GGAGAGGAGAGGAGGAGGAGGAGGAGGAGGGAGAGGAGGAGGAGGAAGCCACGGUCACUUGGAAGCACCAGCUCCCGCAGAUCUCCAUCGCUGCAGCUUUGCAAGCAGCGCACUCACCCUCCGCGUCCGCCCAUUCUCUACAAGUUGCCUUUUUUUUUUAAAGUUUUAGAAGGAAAAAAAGGUAGACGGGAGAAGGUGGGAGCGACGCGGUUUAGAAACGCCCUUACCUCUCCAGCGUGGGGCUCCCGAGGCGAGCGGGGCGGAGCAGCACGGCGGCCUCCCGCAGCCGCCCCAGCCCGCGCACAGUCGGGUCGGGAAGGGCCGGGGCGCGGCGGAGGGCGGAGGGCGGAGGGCGGAGGGCGGAGGGUGGACGCGAGCCUGGGCCUCCCGCGCUCGGCGAGGACCUGCAGCGGGCCCGGCGCCCCACGGCGAGAGGCCGGACCUGGGGCUGCGAGGGAGCUGGGGGUUGGCCGGCCAGGGGGGGCGCCGCGCGUCCGAGCGGCCGCGGCGGGAGCAAGGGGCGGGGACGCGAGCGCGGCUGCGAGGCGACGGCUGGCGGCGGCCCCGACUCCCGCCCGGGGCGGCCGAGGUGCGCAGAGCCGGGCGCCGAGCGCUUCCGCCGCUCCCGCGAGCUCCCGGGCAUUUAUUGCGGCCCCUGCGCGCGCACGUGACGUGAGCGCCCCUCCUCGCCCACCCCCACCCCUCCCCGGCCUGGCCCGGCCCGCGGCGGAGCGGGGAGCAGCCGCCCUGCUUCUCCCCCGGCCCCGCCAAGCCGGGACGCCUGGCCUUUGUGGGCGCGCUUUGGGCGGCAGAGCCCGGCGUGCAGGUCUGGACCGUGCGGGAGGCGUGGGCUGGGAGGGCCCCAACUCCUCCCCACCCCCACCCCCACCCCCACCCCCACCCCCAGCUCCUCUGCUUCCAGAGGUCUUCCUAGUAGCUUCCAGACGGGAUGCAAGGAUGACUUCAGCAACCCUGACGGGAGGGAGGCGCCCCCGGGAGCCUGCGGAGGGGGAGCGGGGAUGGCUUCGCAUCUCAGGCUCCUGGAGAUGCAGAAGAGGUGCUGGGGGGCGGGGUGGGGAGGAACGGCUUUACCUUUUAUCCCCAACAGGAGAUCACUUCUGUUUCCAGGACCCAGUGUCUAGCAUAGAGAAGCUGUUCCUUUUGGUUCCAUUAAACCUUUAUGAUGACCAGAUGGGGAAGGAGUUUCAUAGAGGGAUGUAG
rnacentral:lncRNA from 1 species